rnacentral:lncRNA from 1 species
GCAUUACUCUGGUGCUGCUGAGAACAAAGAUGUGAGCAUGCACUGUACACUCCCCAGCUCAUGAAUACCUUAGGUUGUUACUGUAAGUGGGAUAGGAGGAAAUUCGGUUAUAAAUGGAGACUUGUUUUCUUACCAUUGACCACAAUAAACAGAUUUUUAAUUCAGCACUGUAAGAAAGAGAAGAUGUCCAAGAAAAGCCUGUUUGUAUCUUGAGCGUGGUGGACAGUGGGUGAAAUUCAGCCUUGUGUUAAACACAUUGAAGUCAAUGGAGUUUCUUAUUCUCCAGGCUAUCAUUUCAGGCCAAUUGCCUUUUCCUUACCUCCCAGACCACUGCUUCAUGGUGGGUAUGAUGCUGGCUUGGUGACCAUCCUGGUGCUGCUCUGCCAGACACAACAGGAUCCACUGCAGCACAGAGGGAUGCUCCCGAGGCCCCCAGUAUAUCUUCCCCAUGGUAUCCCCACCCCACCAGGGCUCACCCAUUUCUGAGACUGGAAGGACCUGGGAGAUGCUGAAGGACACAGGGAGGUUCAUCUCAGCACUAAUGGAGGCAGUAAGGCAGUACAUCUGGUAUUUCACAGCUGGCAGCAGCUUGGGAGAGUGCGGAGCUGUGGACAGCUACACUACAUCGCAACUCACUGCUGGGAAUUAUUUUAAAGAGGCAGAAAUGCGGUGUUUCAAGCCCCAUAGCUUAUACAAAUAUCGCCAGAGAAAAUACAAGGAGAAAAAUUAAACACUGAUGUUGCAAGUACAGCUGUGCUUCUGCUUUGUUCUCUGGUUUAUGUUUACCCGAAGUGUGAUAAAAUGUUUGAAAAAUCUUGCCUUUGCAAAUGAGGUUUCCACAUGCUUUUCCCUAAGCCAUGCAAUAUGAAAUGAUCUUCACUGCUCAGGCAUGCAGUUUGGUGGGGCACUGCUGGGCUCAUCACUCAGCUAGCAAAUAGAAAUGGUCUUUAUCGCCAUAUUCAUUGGCCGUCCCUGGAUAACAUAAAUCAGGGCAAGGCAUGCUCCUCCAUAAUAAAUGCUAGUGCUGGUGCUCUGGAAGCUUCCCU